rnacentral:lncRNA from 1 species
GAGGGGGGAAUGAAAGCAGGGUUGUAAGAACCCCCCCACCUGAACUGCUAGAGGCAUUUUCUAGUUUGUGGGGGAUGUUUUGGUUUUCUGUGUACAGCUGUUUUGUCUGCAUGUGUGUCUGUGUACACGUGUGUGCCUGGUGCCCUGGGACUAGAGUUACAGAGAGUUAUGAACUGACAUGUAUAUGGGUAUUAGUAAAUAACACAUAAUGUGCUGUUUUGUUAUUUCUUAUGCUAUUAGCUGUCUCUCCGGGGAAAAUGUAAAAUUACUGUCUGCCUCCAAGCUGAAAUGGCACCAACAGCCAAAAAGAGUGACUCGUGCAAGCUUGCCUAGUGAGUAAAAUGGGUUUAUUAGGGUCGCUUACGUCUCCUGAGCUUCUGUUUUCUAUGACUCAGGAGCAAGCCUGGCUUGGAUCACUGCCCAGAAUUAGAGCAGCGCAGACAGAACCAGACUCCGGCAAAGGUACACGCUCACGUGCACUCUGCCCUUUCUCUUAUCGGGGAUUCAGCAAAGAGUGCCUGUGGGGAGGAUGCCUCUGCUCAAAGCUGGCUGGCAAGCAGAUCAGAUAAAUUCCAGCUUGCAACAAAAUGGAGUUACCCUGAGGAGUCAGAAGAUAAGUCUCAUUCCAUUGGCAAGCUUCAUAUAAGUGUCUACACAGUUCGCUUGUGUUGAAGGGUGGGUCAGAAUUUCCUCCUAAGACAUUGUAUAUAACAUACUUUUAGCUGUCAUCUGCCAUCAAUUCUAAUACACACAUGUCACAGUAUCAGGAUUGCUAACCCCUACAACCCCUGAAAACUGUCGACGUUAAGAUUUGCUAGCUGUGUGCUUUAGCUCUGUGUCACUGUAACAAGUGUCUGGGAUAAUCAAAUUCUUCAAAAUAAAAAGUCUCUCUCUCUCCCUCUCUCUCUCUCUCUCUCUCUCUCUCUCCCUCUCCCUCUCUCCCUCCCUCUCUCUCUCUCUCUCUCUCUCUCUCUCUCUCUCUCUCUCUCUCUCGUGUGUGCAUGCGUGAAUUCAGGGACCUUCAGAGUCCAGAAGAGCGCAUCCGAUCCCCUGGAGCUGAAGUUCCUUGUAGUCGGAAGCUGCCCGACUUAGGUGCCAGGAGCUGAACUUAGCUCUGAUAGAAAAGCAGUACAAAGUCUUAACAGCCUUGAACUCACCAUGACACUGCUUUCCAGGUGCUAAGAUUAUAGGCGUGUGAGUUCAAGGCCAGACAACAUAUAGACAGUGAGUUCUAGGCCAGCUAUCAGUAUUUGAGUGAUACC